GAACUCGGGUGAAGGAACUAGGCAAAAUUGUACCGUAACUUCGGGAGAAGGUACGCUCUUGUUUGUGAAGGACUUGCUCCGUAAGCAAACGAGAGCCGCAGUGACCAGGUGGCUGGGACUGUUUAUUAAAAACACAGCACUGUGCAAAAUCGUAAGAUGACGUAUACGGUGUGACACCUGCCCGGUGCCGGAAGGUUAAUUGAUGGGGUUAGACAUUUGUCGAAGCUCUUGAUCGAAGCCCCGGUAAACGGCGGCCGUAACUAUAACGGUCCUAAGGUAGCGAAAUUCCUUGUCGGGUAAGUUCCGACCUGCACGAAUGGUGUAACCAUGGCCACGCUGUCUCCACCCGAGACUCAGUGAAAUUGAAAUCGCAGUGAAGAUGCUGUGUACCCGCGGCUAGACGGAAAGACCCCGUGAACCUUUACUACAGCUUGGCACUGAACAUUGACCCUACAUGUGUAGGAUAGGUGGGAGGCUUUGAAGCACAGUCGCUAGAUUGUGUGGAGCCGUCCUUGAAAUACCACCCUUGUAGUGUUGAUGUUCUAACUUAGGUCCCUAAUCGGGAUUGAGGACAGUGCCUGGUGGGUAGUUUGACUGGGGCGGUCUCCUCCCAAAGAGUAACGGAGGAGCACGAAGGUUGGCUAAGUACGGUCGGACAUCGUACGGUUAGUGUAAUGGUAGAAGCCAGCUUAACUGCGAGACAGACACGUCGAGCAGGUACGAAAGUAGGUCAUAGUGAUCCGGUGGUUCUGAAUGGAAGGGCCAUCGCUCAACGGAUAAAAGGUACUCCGGGGAUAACAGGCUGAUACCGCCCAAGAGUUCAUAUCGACGGCGGUGUUUGGCACCUCGAUGUCGGCUCAUCACAUCCUGGGGCUGAAGUCGGUCCCAAGGGUAUGGCUGUUCGCCAUUUAAAGUGGUACGCGAGCUGGGUUUAGAACGUCGUGAGACAGUUCGGUCCCUAUCUGCCGUGGGCGUUUGAGAAUUGAGAGGGGCUGCUCCUAGUACGAGAGGACCGGAGUGGACGAACCGCUGGUGUUCGGGUUGUUAUGCCAAUAGCAUUGCCCGGUAGCUACGUUCGGAAUCGAUAACCGCUGAAAGCAUCUAAGCGGGAAGCGAGCCUCGAGAUGAGUUCUCACUUUAACUUAGAGUUAACUGAAGGGCCGUUGAAGACUACAACGUUGAUAGGCGAGAUGUGGAAGUGCUGUGAGGCAUUGAGCUAACUCGUACUAAUUACCCGUGAGGCUUAACCAUACAACGCCAAAGUGGUUU
rnacentral:rRNA from 1 species